GACAGAGGAUGCAAGCGUUAUCCGGAAUGAUUGGGCGUAAAGCGUCUGUAGGUGGUUUAUUAAGUCUACUGUUAAAGAUCAGGGCUUAACCCUGAGCAGGCAAUAGAAACUAAUAAGCUAGAGUACGGUAGGGGCAGAGGGAAUUCCCGGUGUAGCGGUGAAAUGCGUAGAGAUCGGGAAGAACACCAACGGCGAAAGCACUCUGCUGGGCCGAAACUGACACUGAGAGACGAAAGCUAGGGGAGCAAACAGG
rnacentral:rRNA from 1 species